GGGUUGUGAGGUUAAGCGACUAAGCGUACACGGUGGAUGCCCUGGCAGUCAGAGGCGAUGAAGGACGUGCUAAUCUGCGAAAAGCGCCGGCGAGGUGAUAUGAACCUUUGACCCGGCGAUGUCCGAAUGGGGAAACCCAGUGCAAUUCGUUGCAUUAUCGUUAACUGAAUACAUAGGUUAACGAGGCGAACCGGGGGAACUGAAACAUCUAAGUACCCCGAGGAAAAGAAAUCAACCGAGAUUCCCCCAGUAGCGGCGAGCGAACGGGGAGCAGCCCAGAGUCUGAAUCAGCUUGUGUGUUAGUGGAAGCGUCUGGAAAGUCGCACGGUACAGGGUGACAGUCCCGUACACGAAAAUGCACAGGUUGUGAACUCGAAGAGUAGGGCGGGACACGUGGUAUCCUGUCUGAAUAUGGGGGGACCAUCCUCCAAGGCUAAAUACUCCUGACUGACCGAUAGUGAACCAGUACCGUGAGGGAAAGGCGAAAAGAACCCCGGCGAGGGGAGUGAAAAAGAACCUGAAACCGUGUACGUACAAGCAGUGGGAGCACCUUCGUGGUGUGACUGCGUACCUUUUGUAUAAUGGGUCAGCGACUUAUAUUCUGUAGCAAGGUUAACCGUAUAGGGGAGCCGAAGGGAAACCGAGUCUUAACUGGGCGUUAAGUUGCAGGGUAUAGACCCGAAACCCGGUGAUCUAGCCAUGGGCAGGUUGAAGGUUGGGUAACACUAACUGGAGGACCGAACCGACUAAUGUUGAAAAAUUAGCGGAUGACUUGUGGCUGGGGGUGAAAGGCCAAUCAAACCGGGAGAUAGCUGGUUCUCCCCGAAAGCUAUUUAGGUAGCGCCUCGUGAACUCAUCUUCGGGGGUAGAGCACUGUUUCGGCUAGGGGGCCAUCCCGGCUUACCAACCCGAUGCAAACUACGAAUACCGAAGAAUGUUAUCACGGGAGACACACGGCGGGUGCUAACGUCCGUCGUGAAGAGGGAAACAACCCAGACCGCCAGCUAAGGUCCCAAAGUCAUGGUUAAGUGGGAAACGAUGUGGGAAGGCACAGACAGCCAGGAUGUUGGCUUAGAAGCAGCCAUCAUUUAAAGAAAGCGUAAUAGCUCACUGGUCGAGUCGGCCUGCGCGGAAGAUGUAACGGGGCUAAACCAUGCACCGAAGCUGCGGCAGCGACACUUAGGUGUUGUUGGGUAGGGGAGCGUUCUGUAAGCCGUUGAAGGUGUGCUGUGAGGCAUGCUGGAGGUAUCAGAAGUGCGAAUGCUGACAUAAGUAACGAUAAAGCGGGUGAAAAGCCCGCUCGCCGGAAGACCAAGGGUUCCUGUCCAACGUUAAUCGGGGCAGGGUGAGUCGACCCCUAAGGCGAGGCCGAAAGGCGUAGUCGAUGGGAAACAGGUUAAUAUUCCUGUACUUGGUGUUACUGCGAAGGGGGGACGGAGAAGGCUAUGUUAGCCGGGCGACGGUUGUCCCGGUUUAAGCAUGUAGGCGGAGGUUCCAGGUAAAUCCGGUACCUUUUAACGCUGAGGUGUGAUGACGAGGCACUACGGUGCUGAAGUAACAAAUGCCCUGCUUCCAGGAAAAGCCUCUAAGCAUCAGGUAACAUCAAAUCGUACCCCAAACCGACACAGGUGGUCAGGUAGAGAAUACCAAGGCGCUUGAGAGAACUCGGGUGAAGGAACUAGGCAAAAUGGUGCCGUAACUUCGGGAGAAGGCACGCUGAUAUGUAGGUGAAGCCCCUGCGGGUGGAGCUGAAAUCAGUCGAAGAUACCAGCUGGCUGCAACUGUUUAUUAAAAACACAGCACUGUGCAAACACGAAAGUGGACGUAUACGGUGUGACGCCUGCCCGGUGCCGGAAGGUUAAUUGAUGGGGUUAGCGGCAACGCGAAGCUCUUGAUCGAAGCCCCGGUAAACGGCGGCCGUAACUAUAACGGUCCUAAGGUAGCGAAAUUCCUUGUCGGGUAAGUUCCGACCUGCACGAAUGGCGUAAUGAUGGCCAGGCUGUCUCCACCCGAGACUCAGUGAAAUUGAACUCGCUGUGAAGAUGCAGUGUACCCGCGGCAAGACGGAAAGACCCCGUGAACCUUUACUAUAGCUUGACACUGAACACUGGUCCUUGAUGUGUAGGAUAGGUGGGAGGCUUUGAAGCGUGGACGCCAGUCUGCGUGGAGCCAACCUUGAAAUACCACCCUUUAAUGGCUGGUGUUCUAACGUAGACCCGUGAUCCGGGUUGCGGACAGUGUCUGGUGGGUAGUUUGACUGGGGCGGUCUCCUCCCAAAGAGUAACGGAGGAGCACGAAGGUUAGCUAAUCCUGGUCGGACAUCAGGAGGUUAGUGCAAUGGCAUAAGCUAGCUUGACUGCGAGAGUGACGGCUCGAGCAGGUGCGAAAGCAGGUCAUAGUGAUCCGGUGGUUCUGAAUGGAAGGGCCAUCGCUCAACGGAUAAAAGGUACUCCGGGGAUAACAGGCUGAUACCGCCCAAGAGUUCAUAUCGACGGCGGUGUUUGGCACCUCGAUGUCGGCUCAUCACAUCCUGGGGCUGAAGUAGGUCCCAAGGGUAUGGCUGUUCGCCAUUUAAAGUGGUACGCGAGCUGGGUUUAGAACGUCGUGAGACAGUUCGGUCCCUAUCUGCCGUGGGCGCUGGAGAAUUGAGGGGGGCUGCUCCUAGUACGAGAGGACCGGAGUGGACGCAUCACUGGUGUUCGGGUUGUCAUGCCAAUGGCACUGCCCGGUAGCUAAAUGCGGAAAAGAUAAGUGCUGAAAGCAUCUAAGCACGAAACUUGCCCCGAGAUGAGUUCUCCCUGACCCUUUAAGGGUCCUGAAGGAACGUUGAAGACUACGACGUUGAUAGGUCGGGUGUGUAAGCGCAGCGAUGCGUUGAGCUAACCGAUACUAAUGAACCGUGAGGCUUAACCUUACAACGCCGAAGCUGUU
rnacentral:rRNA from 1 species